rnacentral:tRNA from 1 species
AAGAAACUUAGGAUAACGAAACCGAAGGCCUUCAAAGCCUUAAACAAGAGUUAAACCCUCUUAGUUUCUG